UGGGGAAUAUUGGACAAUGGGCGCAAGCCUGAUCCAGCCAUGCCGCGUGGGUGAUGAAGGCCCUAGGGUUGUAAAGCCCUUUCGGCGGGGAAGAUAAUGACGGUACCCGCAGAAGAAGCCCCGGCUAACUUCGUGCCAGCAGCCGCGGUAAUACGAAGGGGGCUAGCGUUGCUCGGAAUCACUGGGCGUAAAGCGCACGUAGGCGGACUCUUAAGUCGGUGGUGAAAUCCUGGAGCUCAACUCCAGAACUGCCUUCGAUACUGGGAGUCUCGAGUCCGGGAGAGGUGAGUGGAACUGCGAGUGUAGAGGUGAAAUUCGUAGAUAUUCGCAAGAACACCAGUGGCGAAGGCGGCUCACUGGCCCGGUACUGACGCUGAGGUGCGAAAGCGUGGGGAGCAAACAGGAUUAGAUACC
rnacentral:rRNA from 1 species